rnacentral:tRNA from 1 species
GGAGAGGUGCGAGAGUGGUUGAAUCGGGCGGUCUCGAAAACCGUUGAAGGAGCAAUCUUUCCGAGGGUUCGAAUCCCUCCCUCUCCG